UUAGGGUUAGUUUAUUAAGAAUUGUUGAUUGUUGAUCGAUAGGUUUUUCUCUAAAAGG
rnacentral:tRNA from 1 species